GACGAACGCUUGCGGCGUGCCUAAAGAAAUGCAAGUCGAACGGGCAUCGGCUUCGGUCGGUGUCAGUGGCGAACGGUCGCGUAACACGUAGGCAACCUGCCCUAAAGUGGGGGAUAACGACCCGAAAGGGUUGCUAAUACCGCAUGUGGCCCCAGGAUCGCAUGGUCCUGUGUCUGGAAGGGGUGAGCAAUCACUUCGCUUUAGGAUGGGCUUGCGGCCUAUCAGCUAGUUGGNGGGGUAACGGCCUACCAAGCAUUGACGGGUAGCUGGUCUGAGAGGAUGGUCAGCCGGAUUGGGACUGAGAUACGGCCCAGACUCCGUACGGGGGGCAGCAAUU
rnacentral:rRNA from 1 species